UACGAGGGGGGCAAGCGUUGUUCGGAAUUAUUGGGCGUAAAGGGCGCGUAGGCGGUCUGAUAAGUCUUGUGUGAAAUCUCUGGGCUCAACCCAGAGUCUGCACAGGAAACUGUCGGGCUUGAGUAUGGGAGAGGUGCGUGGAAUUUCCGGUGUAGCGGUGAAAUGCGUAGAUAUCGGAAGGAACACCUGUGGCGAAAGCGGCGCACUGGACCAAAACUGACGCUGAGGCGCGAAAGCCAGGGGAGCAAACGGG
rnacentral:rRNA from 1 species